rnacentral:rRNA from 1 species
GCCUAAACCUAGCCCAACCACACACAACCAAUUACCUAAAAAAUCCAUCUCAACCACAAAACUAAAGCAUUAUCUAAACUUAGUAUAGGCGAUAGAAAAGUAACCCAUUGGCGCAAUAGAAAGCUGUACCGUAAGGGACAGAUGAAAUAACAAUGAAAAAUUUAAGCGAUAAACAGCAAAGAUAAACCCUUGUACCUUUUGCAUCAUGAUUUAGCAAGAACAACCAAGCAAAACGAACUUAAGCUUGCCCUCCCGAAACCCAAGCGAGCUACUCACAGGCAGCUAUUUUGAGCGAACCCGUCUCUGUUGCAAAAGAGUGGGACGACCUGUCAGUAGAGGUGAAAAGCCAAUCGAGCUGGGUGAUAGCUGGUUGCCCGUGAAAUGAAUCUAAGUUCUGCCUUAGCAAUUUCUUUUUUCCCCCCGAACAUUAACAAUCACUCUUAACGUGGUAAAGCUAAGAGUAAUUUAAAGGAGGUACAGCUCCUUUAAAAAAGAAUACAACCUCUCCUAGCGGAUAAACCUCUUUUCCCCCCAUCCUGUAGGCCUUAAAGCAGCCAUCAAUAAAGAAUGCGUCAAAGCUCACUCACCUAAAAAUCCAAAAACACUAUGACUCCCUCACCCCUAACGGGCUAACCUAUGAUCUAUAGGAGAAUUAAUGCUAAAAUAAGUAACUCGGAACCCAUCCUCUCAAGCGCAAACUUACACCCACAAUUAUUAACAGACUAGCUAAUACUGCAACCUAACAAGCCCAAAUAUUAACCUUAUUCCGUUACCCCAACACUGGAGCGCUCGUUAAGAAAGAUUAAAAUCUGUAAAAGGAACUAGGCAAACUCAGGGCCCGACUGUUUACCAAAAACAUAGCCUUCAGCCGACCAAGUAUUGAAGGUGAUGCCUGCCCAGUGACACAUGUUCAACGGCCGCGGUAUCCUAACCGUGCAAAGGUAGCGCAAUCAAUUGUCCCAUAAAUCGAGACUUGUAUGAACGGCUAAACGAGGUCCUAACUGUCUCUUACAGAUAAUCGGUGAAAUUGAUCUUUCUGUGCAAAAGCAGAAAUAAACACAUAAGACGAGAAGACCCUGUGGAACUUUAAAAAUUAGCGGCCACUUCAUAGAACACAUCAACCCUAAUAGGCCUACUUACCCCACAAAUACUGGUCCGCAUUUUUCGGUUGGGGCGACCUUGGAGAAAAACAAACCCUCCAAAAACAAGACCAUACCUCUUAACCAAGAGUAACACCUCCACGUGCUAACAGCAACCAGACCCAAUAUAAUUGAUUAAUGAACCAAGCUACCCCAGGGAUAACAGCGCAAUCUCCUCCAAGAGCCCAUAUCGACAAGGGGGUUUACGACCUCGAUGUUGGAUCAGGACAUCCUAAUGGUGCAGCCGCUAUUAAGGGUUCGUUUGUUCAACGAUUAACAGUCCUACGUGAUCUGAGUUCAGACCGGAGCAAUCCAGGUCGGUUUCUAUCUAUGACGAACUUACCCUAGUACGAAAGGACCGGGAAAGUGAGGCCAAUACCACAAGCACGCCUCCCCCCAAUUAAUGAAACCAACUAAAUUACCAAAAGGACGCCCACCACCAUACCCAAGAUAAGGGUCA